rnacentral:rRNA from 1 species
UACGUAGGGUGCAAGCGUUUGUCCGGAAUUAUUGGGCGUAAAGAGCUCGUAGGCGGUUCGUCGCGUCGGGAGUGAAAACUCGGAGCUCAACUCCGAGCCUGCUUCCGAUACGGGCAGACUAGAGGUAGGCAGGGGAGAGCGGAACUCCUGGUGUAGCGGUGGAAUGCGCAGAUAUCAGGAGGAACACCAAUGGCGAAGGCAGAUCUCUGGGCCGUAACUGACGCUGAGGAGCGAAAGCAUGGGGAGCGAACAGG